rnacentral:rRNA from 1 species
AACACGAAAGUGGACGUAUAGGGUGUGAUGCCUGCCCGGUGCUGGAAGGUUAAUUGAUGGGGUUAGCGUAUGCGAAGCUCUUGAUCGAAGCCCCAGUAAACGGCGGCCGUAACUAUAACGGUCCUAAGGUAGCGAAAUUCCUUGUCGGGUAAGUUCCGACCUGCACGAAUGGCAUAAUGAUGGCAGCGCUGUCUCCAGCAGAGACUCAGUGAAAUCGAAAUCGCAGUGAAGAUGCUGUGUACCCGCGGCUAGACGGUAAGACCCCGUGAACCUUUACUACAGCUUUACAUUGAACUUUGACCUAACUUGUGUAGGAUAGGUGGGAGGCUUUGAAGCAGAUACGCCAGUAUUUGUGGAGCCAACCUUGAAAUACCACCCUGGUUAUGUUGGGGUUCUAACUUAGAUAUAACAGUAUCAAGGACAAUGUAUGGUGGGUAGUUUGACUGGGGCGGUCUCCUCCUAAAGAGUAACGGAGGAGUACGAAGGUGCGCUCAGAACGGUCGGAAAUCGUUCAAAGAGUAUAAAGGCAAAAGCGCGCUUAACUGCGAGACCCACAAGUCGAGCAGGUACGAAAGUAGGUCUUAGUGAUCCGGUGGUUCUGUAUGGAAGGGCCAUCGCUCAACGGAUAAAAGGUACUCUGGGGAUAACAGGCUGAUACCGCCCAAGAGUUCAUAUCGACGGCGGUGUUUGGCACCUCGAUGUCGGCUCAUCUCAUCCUGGGGCUGAAGCAGGUCCCAAGGGUAUGGCUGUUCGCCAUUUAAAGAGGUACGCGAGCUGGGUUUAGAACGUCGUGAGACAGUUCGGUCCCUAUCUACCGUGGGCGUUGGAAAUU